CUCUAAAUUACCAUAGUUGACCUUUUGCAUUUUUUUUCCUGAAUAAUUUCUUAUUGGGAAAAGUAUGAAAGUGCCAUGAGUUCACUUCACCUGAAGUGCAGGUGAGCUAGACAACCAUAAAUGCUAAAGAUGCGGUUUGGGAAUGGAGAAGGAUUUUCAGUAAGCUUGGAUGUCCCACUCCCAGUUGAAGUAAAGAAACAUUUUGAAAAUACAAAUUGUCAUCAAUACACUUGAGAACAAGGCAAACAACAGUGUUGUCUAAGCCAAGCUAUCUUUCUCCUGCACCAAGAGGCCAUAAGUGAUAGCACGUGAAAGAGAGAGAAAUGACCAAACUGUCUGAAGUGUUAAAAGAGAGCACUUUGAUGGGCUGUCCAUACUGAACAGCUGUGUCUAUGUACCUAGUUAGCCCUCUGGUGUUGCUGAAGAGCAAAUAACCAUAAAACAAUGUUUAAAAAUACAGUUAUCUUAUGGUAUGCUGGAUGAUAUCAGGUAAUAUAUUUAUCUUUUUUGCUCCUUCCAGAGACUUCUAUCUGCAAUUUAUCACAUAGGCUAUGUCACUUUUUCUAGUUGUGGUCAGUACCACAGGAACGUUUUUAUUUUGAGCAAUGACUUUUUUCUUUUUAAUCAUGAAAAUGAAGGUCUUUCAUUUUGUACUGUUAUAUUGUAUCCGAAGUAGAUUUGUCCUUCUAUUUUGUGACAAACCCUGGUUCCAAUGUUGAAUGCAACAAGUCAAGCCAUGCACUGGGCAUUGCAAGUAGUGGAAGUAAAAGUCAUAGCAUCAUUUAGGUUGAAAAAGACCACUAAGAUUGAGUCUAGCCAUUAACCCAGCACUGCCAAGUCCACAACUAAACCACAUCCCUAACCACUCUUUGCCCUUUCUGUUCUGUGAGUGGGUUGUGCAAUAAUUAGUGGUGCACAAACUCAACGCGGAUGCUCUGUGAGCAGGUCAGGUUGGGGAGCAGCCUGUCCGCUGUGUGGACUCCCAAGCCUCUCUGGCUAGCAAGAUAUUUCUUUCCCUGAUUGCUGUGGAUGCUGACUGUACUAUAUUUAAGAUGAAAUAGCUGGGAUUGUGCCUUGCUCCAGGAGGAAGACGCCUGCUACUUCCUUUCUAUGCGGUACUCGCAAACCCUGGGGCAGGGAGGCUGCACAACCGGGGCCACACGGCGGCCUGAGGGUCCAUCCCCCCGGCAGCUCUCUCCUCACCCCGGCGCCAGAAACCCGCACUGGAGCCCCGCAGCCGCCUGCUUGCAGGCUCUGGGGAGGCUGGGGUUGAUUUACUCCCCUCGAUUUCGGAAUUCCCACGUCGACCUGGACGCGCUUGUGUCGCUGCAAGGCGCUCGGAGCCGGGAGCCGCUCCCGUACCGGCUGUCGCCAGCAAGGGGAGCUCCGCAUUUGUGUAGGAUCCAAGAGACAGGCCAGGGCCAGUAAUGCCACGGCCAGGAGAGGGAGAAUGCUGUAAAAUGACAUUAAAUCGAUGUGAGGCUUAAUCCCACUGUGGGCUGGAGAAGGAAGGGGAAAAACCAGACAAGCGCCGUGGGCUCCAGGGUGAUAUUUGGGGCACUCCUGAACUCUGCAAAUCAUAUAAUAGAAUUAUUGAAUUAUAGAAUGAUUUGGGUUGGAAGGUACUUUUAAAGUUAGUCAUCUAGUUCCAGCCUUCCUGACAUAGGAAGGGACACCUCCCACUA